GGAAUCUUCCACAAUGGGCGCAAGCCUGAUGGAGCGACACCGCGUGAGUGAAGAAGGGUUUCGGCUCGUAAAGCUCUGUUGUUAAAGAAGAACACGUAUGAGAGUAACUGUUCAUACGUUGACGGUAUUUAACCAGAAAGUCACGGCUAACUACGUGCCAG
rnacentral:rRNA from 1 species